CUACGUGCCAGCAGCCGCGGUAAUACGGAGGGUGCGAGCGUUAAUCGGAAUAACUGGGCGUAAAGGGCACGCAGGCGGUUAUUUAAGUGAGGUGUGAAAGCCCCGGGCUUAACCUGGGAAUUGCAUUUCAGACUGGGUAACUAGAGUACUUUAGGGAGGGGUAGAGUUCCACGUGUAGCGGUGAAAUGCGUAGAGAUGUGGAGGAAUACCGAAGGCGAAGGCAGCCCCUUGGGAAUGUACUGACGCUCAUGUGCGAAAGCGUGGGGAGCAAACAGGAUUAGAUACCCUGGUAGUCCACGCUGUAAACGCUGUCGAUUUGGGGAUUGGGCUUAAAGCUUGGUGCCCGUAGCUAACGUGAUAAAUCGACCGCCUGGGGAGUACGGCCGCAAGGUUAAAACUCAAAUGAAUUGACGGGGGCCCGCACAAGCGGUGGAGCAUGUGGUUUAAUUCGAUGCAACGCGAAGAACCUUACCUACUCUUGACAUCCAUGGAAUCCUGUAGAGAUACGGGAGUGC
rnacentral:rRNA from 1 species